AAUACAAAUUUAAUAUUAAAAUUAUGAAGGCAAGACCCACAUAAAGAAACUAAUUCUACUUUCAAAUUAAACACAGCUUCGUUCAAUAAAGGUGGGUGUGCGUUUAUUUUAGCUAGUGAGAGGACUAGUACUGCAAGGAUUUAACAAGAGGUCAAUGUAUGGUUGAGUGUAUCCACUUAAGUUUACUUAUAUGGAGUCAUUUAAAUGUUCAUCGGUUAGUCUCGUCCUGAGGUUUGAUUUCAGGAAUUCAUGUAAAAAUAGCUGACUGUCAGAGUGUAUAUUUUCCAUUUCCGAUUUCCACAAGAUCAACAGAGAAAAAAUCAACCAUCCGUCCUGAAAUCUCACAUUUGUCCAAAUCCAUCCAAGGGUUUGUUAUAAAUGACACACAGGGCGAAAGUUUCUUUCACUGAAUAAGUCAACAAACUCCUAUCCAAGCUUUGAUAAGAGGUCAUAAUAUCUGGAACGCGCACACCUUUAGUUCUGGCAAAGUUGUUUUUUUAGAAAUGGACACACGUUCCUCCGAGACACUUUAAUAAAGGAACCAUUAACAAAAAAUUAAAAAAACACGAAUUCGUUUUUGUUAAAAAUAAACCUAUAAAAGAGUCUCUUUCUCCAACUUUCUUGGGCCCGUUUAAGGUGAUUGAGAGGUACGAUCGUUACUAUAAAUUGGACUUUGGAUCAAGAACUGACAAUGCCCGAUGGAUAGACUUCGACCUGAAUUUGGAGUUCCAAGUAUCCUUCCAGCGUCUCGGACUAUAAGAUGCACAAGAUUUAUAACUGGAGAAUGAUUUAUUUGUUUAUUUAUCAAAUUUUUUAUGAUGCCCUUUAUUGUGUAUUACUAACUAGACGAUCUCUUUACUCACUCUUCCGUCUAGGGGGAGUAAUGUAGGAGUUCGACUAGUUUAGAUGAUAUUAACUAUUCAUCAUUGUACCUUGUAUUCUUUUUUUUCUUUUUAUUUUCGUAUAAAAGAAUGAUCAUUUUUACCCUGUUAAAAUAAAGAUAUUUAAAUCUUAA
rnacentral:lncRNA from 1 species